rnacentral:lncRNA from 1 species
GGAAAUCGUUGGUCAAAGUAGACCACGGACAACUGUUCAAGAAUUUCUGGGUUCGCGGUUUUUGGCAGUUUGGUCAAUCAUGUUUGACCACUUGUAUCUUGUGAUCUAUAAUAGCUCUAGCUUUGAUUCUUUUUUCAUCCUAAAGACCACAUAUCAGGCUACAUGUUACAAGUUUUAAACAUCAAAAACACUAAACACACACGAAUCUAUGG